rnacentral:rRNA from 1 species
GUUGUAUGGUUAAGUGACUAAGCGUACACGGUGGAUGCCUGGGCAGUCAGAGGCGAUGAAGGACGUACUAACUUGCGAUAAGCGCAGAUAAGGCAGUAAGAGCCGUUUGAGUCUGCGAUUUCCGAAUGGGGAAACCCAACUGCAUAAGCAGUUACUGUUAACUGAAUCCAUAGGUUAACAGAGCAAACCGGGGGAACUGAAACAUCUAAGUACCCCGAGGAGAAGAAAUCAACCGAGAUUCCGGUAGUAGCGGCGAGCGAACCUGGAUUAGCCCUUAAGCACUCGGUGAAGUAGGUGAACAAGCUGGAAAGCUUGGCGAUACAGGGUGAUAGCCCCGUAACCGACGCUUCAUCGAGCGUGAAAUCGAGUAGGGCGGGACACGUGAUAUCCUGUCUGAACAUGGGGGGACCAUCCUCCAAGGCUAAAUACUCCUGACUGACCGAUAGUGAACCAGUACCGUGAGGGAAAGGCGAAAAGAACCCCUGUGAGGGGAGUGAAAUAGAACCUGAAACCGUGUACGUACAAGCAGUAGGAGCACCUUCGUGGUGUGACUGCGUACCUUUUGUAUAAUGGGUCAGCGACUUAUAUUCAGUGGCAAGGUUAACCGUAUAGGGGAGCCGUAGCGAAAGCGAGUCUUAACUGGGCGCUCAGUCUCUGGAUAUAGACCCGAAACCGGGUGAUCUAGCCAUGGGCAGGUUGAAGGUUGAGUAACAUCAACUGGAGGACCGAACCGACUAAUGUUGAAAAAUUAGCGGAUGACUUGUGGCUAGGGGUGAAAGGCCAAUCAAACUCGGAGAUAGCUGGUUCUCCCCGAAAGCUAUUUAGGUAGCGCCUCGGACGAAUACUACUGGGGGUAGAGCACUGUUAAGGCUAGGGGGUCAUCCCGACUUACCAACCCUUUGCAAACUCCGAAUACCAGUAAGUACUAUCCGGGAGACACACGGCGGGUGCUAACGUCCGUCGUGGAGAGGGAAACAACCCAGACCGCCAGCUAAGGUCCCAAAGUAUUGCUAAGUGGGAAACGAUGUGGGAAGGCUCAGACAGCUAGGAUGUUGGCUUAGAAGCAGCCAUCAUUUAAAGAAAGCGUAAUAGCUCACUAGUCGAGUCGGCCUGCGCGGAAGAUGUAACGGGGCUAAGCAAUACACCGAAGCUGCGGCAAUGUCUUU